rnacentral:rRNA from 1 species
CACGAACGCUGACGGCAGGCUUAACACAUGCAAGUCGAGCGCCCCGCAAGGGGAGCGGCAGACGGGUGAGUAACGCGUGGGAAUCUACCCAUCUCUACGGAAUAACGCAUGGAAACGUGUGCUAAUACCGUAUACGUCCCUCGGGAGAAAGAUUUAUCGGAGAUGGAUGAGCCCGCGUUGGAUUAGCUAGUUGGUGGGGUAAAGGCCUACCAAGGCGACGAUCCAUAGCUGGUCUGAGAGGAUGAUCAGCCACACUGGGACUGAGACACGGCCCAGACUCCUACGGGAGGCAGCAGUGGGGAAUAUUGGACAAUGGGCGCAAGCCUGAUCCAGCCAUGCCGCGUGAGUGAUGAAGGCCCUAGGGUUGUAAAGCUCUUUCACCGGUGAAGAUAAUGACGGUAACCGGAGAAGAAGCCCCGGCUAACUUCGUGCCAGCCGCCGCAGUAAAAC